rnacentral:rRNA from 1 species
UACGAAGGGGGCUAGCGUUGCUCGGAAUCACUGGGCGUAAAGCGCACGUAGGCGGAUCUUUAAGUCAGGGGUGAAAUCCUGGAGCUCAACUCCAGAACUGCCUUUGAUACUGGGGAUCUCGAGUCCGGAAGAGGUGAGUGGAACUCCGAGUGUAGAGGUGAAAUACGUAGAUAUCAGGAGGAACACCGGUGGCGAAGGCGGCGACCUGGUCCAAUAUUGACACUCAUACACGAAAGCGUGGGGAUCAAACAGG